rnacentral:rRNA from 1 species
AUGCGGGAAACCGUGAUAAGGGGACACCGAGUGCCAGCAUCAUAUGCUGGCUGUCCAGGUGUGUAAAAUACACCUGUUAGCAAGGGCCGGGCAAGACCGGUGCCAGCCGCCGCGGUAACACCGGCGGCCCGAGUGGUGAUCGUGAUUAUUGGGUCUAAAGGGUCCGUAGCCGGUUUGGUCAGUCCUCCGGGAAAUCUGACAGCUCAACUGUUAGGCUUUCGGGGGAUACUGCCAGACUUGGAACCGGGAGAGGUAAGAGGUACUACAGGGGUAGGAGUGAAAUCUUGUAAUCCCUGUGGGACCACCUGUGGCGAAGGCGUCUUACCAGAACGGGUUCGACGGUGAGGGACGAAAGCUGGGGGCACGAACCGGAUUAGAUACCCCCGUAGUCC